UAAUUGUUGAUUUUUUUUUUACUUCAUUUUCAUUGAAUUUUUAUUAAAAAAUGAGAAAAAUACUAAUAUAAACAAACAUCUAUCAUUAAAAGGAGUAUGGAAUUUUUAUUGUUUUAUUGCCACCAAUCCUUUCCUGUGCUUUUCCUGCCAAGCUUGCUACAUUCCAGGAAAUAUUGCAUGGGAAGUGGAAUGAAAGUCAGCCACUGGAAGUCCAAUGAAAAGCAAGGUAAAGGAUAUUAUAGCUGUUUGUGUAUGAGGGAAGAUGAUUUUCCUUUUGAUUUGUUUACAUUAGGUUUUUUUGAUAUAAAUUUGAAAAUUUAUAAAAUGUUAAGUUAAAAAUUAUUGAAAUUAAAAAAAAAACAUAUCAAUCAAUAUAACAAAUUAU
rnacentral:lncRNA from 1 species